rnacentral:lncRNA from 1 species
UGGGGAGCCCCUGGCCCUUCCUCAAGGGCUAACCCGAGCCUUCUGCAGGACUGGACCUCGCCUCCCUGGCCCCCGGGGCCUAUCAGAGCGAGGGCCCGGAUGCGCCCAGUGACGUCACACCAGUCACUCCCCCCCACCCCCACAAUUCAGCCGUGGGACACGCAACUGUCCCCGACCGGGCGAAGAGCGCGUCGGCCCGGACCGCGUCUGCGCACGCGCACAGUCCGCUAAAGAGGCCGCUCUAGGCCCGCAGUCCGCCUCGUUGGCCUGGGCACGCGCGCGCACGCGCGCCGCCCGCCCGGCACGCCCGAGCGGGAGGGCUGUUCCCCGUGUAUCCCCACGUUCUUCUCACACAUCUCCGCGCAAACACGGCGCGGGCCGCGCUCCUGCGAGCGGGAAGCGGGGUCGCUCUUCCCCGGAAGGCUAACCGGCCCUCCCUCGGCGCUCACGGCCUCCGUCUGCUCGCGGCCCACGAUCCCCCGGCAUGGGGGCGUGUUUCCGGUGGCGAGGCUCGGAGCCCUCCGCCUUUCCUGCACCGGAAUGGCUCAGGCAACGCUUCUUCCUCCGCAGGCUAUUAGUUCUUCCCGUCGCCUCGUCCUAAGAGUACUGCAUUAAAAAAUAAAUAAAUAAAAUCCGGUUUGUUAUGCAAGCAGCAUCCCAACAGUACACAAUUAUAUCAAAAAUAGCUAAGCGAUUAAAAAAAAAAAGUCUGGCGUGGUUGAGGCAGGAGGAUUGCAGUGAAUUCUAAAUCCAGCCUGGGCUACGUAGUGAGACUGUUGUCUCAAAAACCACGGAGGGAAGGGAGGCGGAACAAUGGAGCGGAGUAGUCCGUACAUUUGGGAGGCUGAGUUUCAGUGGUGUGACUCCCUGGGUAACAGUCUGAAGAACUUGCCAGUGGCAGCACUUCACCUGGGAAGCAGCACUCAGGAGGCAGGUGGAUCUCUGUGAGUUCGAGGCCAGCCUGGUCUAUAUAAUGAGUUCCAGGACAGCCAGAGCUCCACGGUGGAACCCAAGAGUUAGGAUAUCUGCAGCCUAGGAUGCCUAACAGCACCAAUCUGAGAAUGAAGAACAUCCCUACUGAUAGCAAGGCUUUGCAGGACCAUCUGUGGCUGAGGACAUGCAGGCAGCAGUGGGAGCUGUCUGAAACCUUUAAUUGAUUAGAAAUCUGCUGGAACAAAUGCAUACCAAUGGGCAGCAACAAAGCUAAGGAACUCUAAGGUUCCCCCACCUAACUGAAUAUAACAAAGACUUUAUCUUCUAUGAACUUGGAUACAAACCUUGCUGGAGCCUUAGGCAGGGCCAGGACUGGGAAGAGCAAAGUAAAGCACUCAUUUGGCUACAAUUUUAAGGGACCAAGAAAUAUUUUAGCAAUCAAAAUUGAUUCUAUGUUAACAUUUUUUGAAAC